UCCUUGGAAGUCUGAAUAUAGUGUCUGUUCAGAAAGAAGUGCUGAAAGCUGUUCUCAUAAAAGGUGAUUCCAAUCUUCCAAGGAACUGGGCAGUUCUGGCAAGGAAAAAGUAGAUUUUGUCUGCAUCUCAUCUCUGGUAAGUUCCUGUGUCUGGCAAAAAGGAGAGUCGACUGUCUCAUUUGGAAAACUAGGAUGUUUCAGCAUGCUGUGACUGUUUUAAAAUUCUUUGCACUUGUAAGAAAAAGAAAUCAACCCACCAAACCUGCAAAUCAACCACAAACAGGCAAAUAUAACAGAAAAGGUGCUCUAGCUACCACUCUCGGGUGCAAAACAAACCUGUAAUAAAACCCAGCUGUAAUUAACAGAAGAAUAAAUGUACAUUUCCUCACAUCUCAAUCAACAUUUGACCUGGAGGCUGGGAUCCUGAAAGGAGAGCUUCCUUUUGAAGAGGAGUUGGCAGAAGAACGCUGCAUUUCACUGGUGCAGUUAGUGGGAGAUGAAUAUUUUAUUGGUGUAACAGAGGAGGGUUUACAGCCAUGCAAAUGUUACAUAAACAGAACUGUGUAAAGGAUAAUGAUAUGCUGGAGCUAUGACACUCAUCUUGUUUUUACAUUGCAAUCUAAUCUUUUCACUGUUAUUUAUCUCAGCUAAAGGGUUUUUAUAUUUGAUUAACAAAAAAGCACUCCCAAAGAUAAUCUAGGGCUGUGCAAAAGCUCUGCUGGGAUCAGUUCCAGCUUGGGCAGUGAGUUCCUGAAGCGCUGAGGGACUCUGCAAACCUUGCCACUCCUGCAAAGGGCUUCCUCUGCUCAACUUGCUUUAUUGCCUGAAGAGCAGACCAAUAUUUCUUUUUCUUUUCAAUUAAAAGCCAAAGUUCUCUGCUCAACACUGUCUCUGCCCAGGAGAAAAAGAAACAGCAAGAGCAAAUCCCAACCCACAGAUGUUCGUAGUGAAAUUUGCUUUGUUACCCAAACACGCUGCAGCUCCACUCCUGGCACAACGCCUCUGAAGACAGAGGACAAUUGUCCUCAGUGAUUAUUUUGUUCUCUUCCUAUCUCAGGUGACAUUUUCUGUCCUUGUCCUCAUUACUGGACUCUUUUCAGUUGGUCCAGAUCCUUUUUGAGGUGCCCAGCCUGGCCACAGGGCAUCCCUUGCAGUUAUAUGGAGAGAGCAAAGCUGCACCCUCUAGAGACUCAGAGAGACAGCCGUUCAUUUAUCUGUAGCUAGCAUGGAGUGAUGUCACAUAGGAUUAUAGUAAUUUUUUAGCUCUGGCUUCAGUCUGGGACAGUUUGAAAUUGCAGCCUGAAGGUUGAAAAAGAUAUCAUGUACUUUCUCAACUUUAUCACAGAAAUGCUUCAGACUUGCUUAAACAGAAGUGGUAGAAGCUUUAUUGCUAAAAUUGAAAGAGUUGUUUGUUUCAUCUACCUCAAUCCAGAUGUCAUCAUAUCCAGGCGUUGCCUUUACAUAAACUAAAUAUAACUUUAAUAUGACUAUAAUGUGCUAUCAACCACUUAUGUCUUUGUAAAUCCUGCUAUUUAGAAUCAACCAUUAAUCAUUACAUUCAAAUAUGGUAAUUGCCUGUGCAAACCCCUUGAUCCAAAAUGACAUCCACAAAUUAAAUUAUAUUAACCGUGCUGUUAUUACUAAAGCCUGAAACUUGCCCUCAUUACAGGAGAAAAAUUAUGGCAACCUACCAAACAUAUGCACUUAACAAAAUUAUUAAUAUUUUGAACAAAAAUGCAGUCUUUCAGAAGAGGUUAGCUUCUGGAUUACAGGAUGCCCACAUUAAAAUCUGAUCUAUGGCAAUUCAUUUCCUCAAGCCUGUUCUCUUUGCCUGCAUUUCUCCUGGGCAACAAGGACUCAGAAGGGUUAAUACAAGAUUUCUAAGGUGAGCCCAUGUCCAAGAUAAAUGUAUUUAUGUUCUCCUAUGGAAGUGGGCACUGCUCAGAAAGCCAACAAGAUGGACAGUCAGUGCUGAGCUUACAGGAGUCAGACAGCCUUGUAUUUAUAAAAACACAUCGUAUUAUGAUAGGAGUUCUUUCCCUUUUCUGUUCUUUGAGCCAUUCUGUGGGAGAUCUUGGAUGGGAACAUGGAGAAAGUGCCUUGUUGUUUCAAGUUGCAUUGAAAUAGCUCAGCAGGGUGCUGCACAGAUGGCUGGUGCACUGAGGAAGGUGGCAGGGCUGGGUGUUGGUAAGAAACAGGGUUUUCUGAAAGGAUUUGGCCUCUAAGUUUUGCCUGGCACUUCAUUGUUGUGAUGAGCUGCCUGUAUGUAUUUUACAAAGUGGGGGUUGCAAUUCUCACAGUCUUGCAAUCUGUUUGGGAUCUGCUUUAGGGCUUUUUCUGUUUCUGUAUCAGAUCCUUGCCAAACCUUGGCCACAGCAGGGAAAUUGUGCUUCCAGGAGAGUCUGCUUCAGCAGAGAAAUAGAAUCGUUUUAUUUGAAACAAUGGCCACAGAAAAUUAUUUCCAGACACUGGACAGUGGCUCUGAAGAACAAGGAAUGGGAAAUGGCACAGAAACCUAAGGCAGAGAAAAGAACCUUGAUCUGAUCCCAAACCUCCUGUGGAAGGCCAGUGCAGGAGUGGGGAGCUGGAGCUGUCUCCAUUGGGAGCAUCAAUGCCAGGCUGGAGCUGUGGCUCGUGGCUGCUCCCUCAGAGCAGGGACCUGCACUCGGCUGUGGCUGAUCAGUCACGGCUCUGGUGAGCACUUGGGUCUCUCUGAGUGGGAGAUUCCCAGGGUCUAGCCUUAAAUGUCUGAAUUUCUGGCAUUUAGUGUUGGAAGUCAGUUUUGCAUUCAAAUACAACUGCAGAACUCAGUCCUGUGUCUGUCCUGGUCAAACAGCUGUUCCCCUCAUGAAGAACAUUUUUGUGCUUUCCUUUGUCUUUUAAAUGACCUUAAGAGACCUUAGUCUCUCUCCUUUAUAAUACAAAUGCUCUUGGCUUUGACAUUUUUUAGUCUGGCUGUGGUCUUAUUAAUUUUGUCAGGGUGGCAGAAGUGUUUGAUACAAUUACAGGUCAUAUUGGGAGAAGGAGGCAGAACUGCAAAGUUUAUAACUAGCAGUAAUCAGCCCAGCUGAAUUAAUGAAACCAUUGUCCUAAAUUCAAAACCAGGUGGGGUGGAUUGUUUAGGAAGUUGGCCAAACUGUAUAGGCAAAAGUAUGUGUUAAUAAUACAUAGCACUGUUUCUUUAUGCAGUGGGAGAGAAACUACAUAAGAAGAUUGUCAAUAUUUGUUUGAUAGUAGUGUUAAACUUUAAUGACAAACCAAAAUAUUUUAGCAUUUUGAGGGGUGAAGGAACUCAUGACACGUUGUGAGCAUUAACACCAACUUUGGGUCUGGAGAUCUUAGCUACAAGAAAACACAAAUUUUCAAGCUGUGAUACCUGUCAAGUGCUUCUGGUUAUCCUUACGUUUAUGGUAAUAUUUUUACUUUUCUGUGAAAUUUCAUGGGAUUGUGGUUUAAUGGAUCAUUCCUCUAAUUAUUUUCCUUUCUGUGUUCAGGAAACAAUAAAUCUUUAAGACCCACCCUCCUCCUGCAAAUCACAGCAGUGCAUUUCUCAGCUUCUGCUGUUUGUUGGGUAAUAGAUCAAAUUUGUUCAACAAACAUAAGGCAAGAUCCAAGGAAGAUCCGGGAUGGAUGGAAGCUGAACUGCCCUUCCAUAUCUCUUGCAGGCAGCAGUUGCCACAAACCUUGGAGCUGCAGGCCUAAGUGUGUUGAUUUAAGGAGCGGCAACUAUAUGUUCCUAUAAAAGAAUAUCUUGUGCUCUGACAUGGUGUGUAAAACAUUGGGAUAUUUGCUACCAGAAAGCAAACAGGGAUCAGAGAGUUCCUGUUCUGCAUGGUGUCCCCCUGGCCGUAAGGUAAAGGAUUUCUGUUAUCUCAUGUAUACAUUUGGUAAAUAAAUCCUGUUGCACUCAAA